rnacentral:rRNA from 1 species
UGAGUAACACGUAUGGAACCUGCCCUAUGCAGGGGGAUAAGCGGAAGAAAUUCCGUCUAAUACCGCAUAACACCAUUUGGAGACAUCUCCAGGUGGUCAAAGGAGGCGACUCCGGCAUAGGAUGGCCAUGCGUCGCAUUAGCUAAUCGGCGGGGUAACGGCCCACCGAGGCGACGAUGCGUAGGGGUUCUGAGAGGAAGGUCCCCCACACUGGUACUGAGACACGGACCAGACUCCUACGGGAGGCAGCAG